rnacentral:tRNA from 1 species
ACCUGGCUGGCUUGGUCGGUGGAGCAUGUGACUCUUGAUCUUGAGGUUGUGAGUUUCAGCCUCAUGUUGGGUA